GACCCUCUUAGAAGCAAAAUUAAGGUACAGUAAAAUAAAUAUAUACCUCCUAGCCUGGUGUCUGAUGUUUUAAUGACUUUGAGUUCUCUUUCCUCUAUUUCUAUGUUUAGUUUUACUUAAGAUAAAGUUCCAUGGUGAUACUGUGGGUUUGGGACACAAUCUCCAAAAGCCCCCAGUAGAAGAUUUCAUCCGGACCAUUGUGUAGCUAGCCUAACAUGACGACCUGAUUACCUUGCUCAGAGACAACUUCAGCCCAGGCUUGCAACAAAGAUCUGACAAUGUGUUUUUUCUCUCUGAACCUGAAAGACCUGGGCUCAGUGAUUAACAAGAAACAACCCAACAGAAAAAAGUCACUUAGCUACAUGAAUCUGCGAUGGAUGAGAAUUGAAACUCCUCAAGUUCAGGGCUCACAUAGGCUCUUCGCAGUGGAAUAGAGAAGAAGCAGGGCCAUCAUGGACUCAGGAAAAUGAAAAAGAAGUAGAUCCUUGAUUCCUUUUCUCAUCUUUCUCUUUCUUGUUGGGCUUCAAAGAUCUGCCAUCAGAACUAAGGGUUAGAAAUGGUUGCCCUACAGAGCUUUCCUGCUGAACUAUCUAGAAAGAGAUGAGGCCCCAUGUUCUUACCUGCUGAAUUUUUGGUUGCUUGAGACAUAAAUCCUGGGUUGUGGCCUCUAUCACUGCCUUCUUGGGAAAUUUGAGAACUUUGAGCCGUGGAUUUGACCGGAAUAACUCCAGGUAUUUACCUGCUUCCUGAACCUCACUGUGGACUCACCAUUCCCUGCCUUUGCUUAUUGCCCUAUGAGCUGGUAACGAUUGUUAUGUCACAGCAUGGCUGUGUGACUUCAUUUAAACAGAGACUUGUCUGGUCUUUCGAAAUCUGUGAUUAAAAAAUGAAAAGUGGAGUGGGACACCUGGGUGGCUCAGGCAGUUAAGCAUCUGCCUUCGGCUCAGGUCCUGAUCCCAGGGACCUGGGAUCAAGUCCCGCAUCAGGAGCCUGCUUCUCCCUCUGCCCGCCA